rnacentral:lncRNA from 1 species
AUAUGAUUCUAUUAAAUUUUUAUCAAUAGUUCUUUAUGUUUGAUGCAUAUUAAUUAUACAGAAUGAGACUAUACAUGUAGCAUAUCUGUACAUACAUAAAAUCAUAAUUUGAUCAACUUCACUUUACAAUCCCUCUCCCAUUCUUUCUUCCUCCCUCUCCAGGAUUUCUUUUAUCUACCCUACCAGUUUCCUAAUUUAAUGGAGUCUCUUUUCUUUUUUUUUCCCCUUCUAAAUUCCACAUAUGAUGAAAAACAUAUGAUACUUUUUGCUCUGAGUUUGGUUUAUUUUGCAUAAUUAGCAUUAGGGUGUUCAUUUCCUGCAAAUGGCAAAAUGUCAUUCUUUUUAUGACUGAAUAAAACUCCAUUGUGUGUAUAUUUCACAUUUUCUUUAUGCAUUCAUUGAGUGACA